rnacentral:lncRNA from 9 species
GGAAGUAGCCCCUUGAGACUAUUUGUACUUUUUUUUUUUCAAACAGUGGGGCUCCAGAGCCUGUACAUGUUGCUGGGUGUGCAGUAAACACACAGAAAACAGUAUAUGCCCACCCUGCUCGUGAGGAGGGAGUUGCUGAGUCUACACUCUGUGCCAUCUACCAUGCAAUUCACCACAGUAAUUUCGAAUAGCUUCUUGGGUCUUGCAUCAUUUGUGAAAGUGAAGCAAACCUUCCUCUACUGUACAGAGUGUCCAGAAAUAGAGCUCAUCAGAGUAACCCAGUUGACAUAAUGAGUGCCUUCACGUUCUCAUCAUACGAUGCGGGUUUCAACAGUGUUCCUAGGAGUUCCCAUCGUGGUGCAGCAGAAGCGGAUCUGACUAGGAAUCAUGAGGUUGAAGGUUCGAUCCCUGGCCUCACUCAGUGAGUUAAGAAUCCAGCGUUGCCAUGAGCUGUGGUGUAGGUCACAGACGCGGCUCAGAUCUGGUGUUGCUGUGGCUGUGGAGUAAGCCAGCAGCUACAGCUCUGAUUAGAGCCCUAGCCUGGAAAACUCCAUAUGCCAUGGGUGCGGCCCUAAAAAGACAAAAUAAAUAAAUAAAUAAAUAGUUUUCCUAUUUUUUUGUGUUAAAAGACAUUUUUAUUCCACCCUUAAGCAACAGUGUUUCCAAAAUUUCUUCAUAGGCUCUAAGAGGAGGCAUGUGGUAAGGCCAAGAUUUGGGAAACUUGAAGUUCCUGUUGUGACUCAGCAGUUAAGGAACCCAACUAGUGUCCAUGAGGAGGUGCGUUCCAUCCCUGGCCUCACUCAGUGGGUUAAGGGAUCAGGCAUUGCCUGAGCUGUGGUGCAAGUUGC